rnacentral:lncRNA from 1 species
AGAAAUCACCCUUGAAACCAUAGAGCAAAGAAAAAAAAAGGAAGAAAGAAGCAAAGAAAAUGCUCAUGGUUGUGUGGAUUUGAAAAGAAAAAGAAAAAGAUAGGGAUCAAAGAAAGGGAAAUUGUGUAGAAGUUGAAUGAUUGGGAAUGCUCCCUUAGGAUAGGCAACUUUGUCGAAUUCUCUUAAUCACAUCCUUUCUUGUAACCUAAGCCACAUUACAACCUUUGAAAGACCUCUUGAUUCUCAUUUUUCACAUGAUUUGGUAUUUGUUGU